rnacentral:rRNA from 1 species
AACGAACGCUGGCGGCAGGCCUAACACAUGCAAGUCGAGCGCCCCGCAAGGGGAGCGGCGGACGGGUGAGUAACGCGUGGGAACGUGCCCUUUGCUACGGAAUAGCCCCGGGAAACUGGGAGUAAUACCGUAUAAGCCCUACGGGGGAAAGAUUUAUCGGCAAAGGAUCGGCCCACGUUGGAUUAGGUAGUUGGUGGGGUAAUGGCCUACCAAGCCGACGAUCCAUAGCUGGUUUGAGAGGAUGAUCAGCCACACUGGGACUGAGACACGGCCCAGACUCCUACGGGAGGCAGCAGUGGGGAAUCUUAGACAAUGGGCGCAAGCCUGAUCUAGCCAUGCCGCGUGAGCGAUGAAGGCCUUAGGGUUGUAAAGCUCUUUCGUGGGGGAAGAUAAUGACUGUACCCCAAGAAGAAGCCCCGGCUAACUCCGUGCCAGCAGCCGCAGUAACAC